rnacentral:other from 1 species
AACGUUCUGGGAUAUGCGAAUGGUUUCUAUUUUGAACCUACGUAUUGUACCAGGGAACCUAAUACGGGUGUUGGAUAUCAGGCCCAUAGUAAGUCCAAUUCUGGCAGGGGACGAUAGAAGAUAUUCUGCGGGUACCCACCUAUCGAGAGAUAGGUGUCAAAAUUGAAGCGACGGUAUCUCAGAUCACAU